rnacentral:rRNA from 1 species
UACGUAGGGCGCAAGCGUUGUCCGGAAUUAUUGGGCGUAAAGAGCUCGUAGGCGGCUUGUCGCGUCGACUGUGAAAUCCCGCGGCUCAACUGCGGGUCUGCAGUCGAUACGGGCAGGCUAGAGUUCGGUAGGGGAGACUGGAAUUCCUGGUGUAGCGGUGAAAUGCGCAGAUAUCAGGAGGAACACCGGUGGCGAAGGCGGGUCUCUGGGCCGAUACUGACGCUGAGGAGCGAAAGCGUGGGGAGCGAACGGG